rnacentral:tRNA from 1 species
GUCUAAAUAGUAUAAGAUAUUACACCACCUUUUCGUGGUGGGAAAGAACACAUUGUUCUUUAGAUU